GUAAUAAAAGCAGUAGUAAUAAGAGUAGUAGUAAGUGUAGUAAUGGGCGUUUUCUAAAAACGUCCCACGGUCAUUUCGCGUUGCGUACGCGCGUUUCCACGCUGGUUUACGCAAACAUAUAUAUAUAUACAUACGCAUACACAUAUGUAUAUAUAAAACGUAUGAUCUAUCUGUGUAAUCCGUUGGCUUCACGUUGAAGAAGAAAGUUCCUCUGCUUUCACUGGAUCACACAUUAACUUCUACCACUGUGAAUCCCUGUCUCUUCUUAGACCGCGACUCUCAGUGUUCUCCAAAGAUUCUUUUAGCAAAAAGGAAACUUCGAGGUUUCUAUCGAAAGCGAUUCAUCGAUCAGAUGUAACCAAAAGCCUACUACUACGAGAAUAGCUUGAAUUUCUACGACUCGUACUUUCGUACGUCUUCCUUCUCUUAAUAGAAUCGAUUUAAUUUACGCUUUCAUUAAUCAUUCAUGAACAGUCUCUUGAACGAAUGCGUGCUUGUUCGCUAUGAAAACGAUCGAGACAGGAAGGAGUCUACAGUGAUUAGAGAUUGGUUAGCUUCGAUGACCUUACCGAGUUCCUGAAGGAAGCAUUAAGCCUUCGUUAGACCUCUAUGCGACCUUGUACAAUUCAUAAAUGAUAAAAUUGUGAAGAAUUUUUAUUAUUUAUAUAAAUUAUUUAUUAGAUUAGUCAAGUUUAGACUACUUGAUUGAUUAAGAUCGGAUGAAAGUCUUGUUUAGAUCCUUUUAUAAUAUAAACCUUUGAAAAAUCAAAUUGAUAACAAAAUUCACAAAUCUACAAAUUCAUCUCUGAUCGAUCAUUUUCUUUAUGUCAAAAUCAAUCAUUUCAAAACGGCGCCAUCUAAGGGCGACCAAUUCCAAAUGGAAAAGUCAAUUUAUUCAGAGCACGACUCCUUGAAAUAACUCAUAGCGAUCGUGAGCGCGCACGCGUGCAUGAUCUCGCCUCCGACCUUUUUAUUUCGCGCCAUCCCUGGAGUGGUCAGUUUCGCGCUCGCGCAAACCCACACACGCAUGAAUAAACACGUAUUGUGUGUCCGGUCGUAGACCGUUCAUCCGUGCUUAUCAUCAUCCAUCGUCUUCGAUGUUGUACUUCGUUUCAAGGUGGCUUAGUAUUAAUGUUAAUGUUAGUGUUGGUAGUAAUAGAAGUAAUAGUAGUAGUAGUAGUAGUAGUAGUAGUAGUAGUAGUAGUAGUAGUAGUAGUAGUAGUAGUAGUAGUAGUAGUAGUAGUAGUAGCAAUGAUGGUAGUGGUGAUAGUGGUGCUGGGAGGGAGAAUGUAUCGUCUGUACGAGGCAGCUUGCGGCUCGUGCUAAUUCAGUCGAACAGCGGACUCGGCCAACAAAUCGCCACGAGUGACGAUUCUAAUUUGACUCGCGACGCCGAUAGGACAUUGAUAUCUUUGUCACCACUUUGACGCUUCCUUAGAAUAAUUUUGACUUUUCUUUAUCUUCAUAUCGUUUUUUUUUUCCUGCAAAAGAGUUCUUUUCUCGAGAAGAGUUUUCUAUCUUUCUAUUUUAUUCGUCUUUUCUAUGGAAGAACGAUCGGAUCAAUCGUAUUUAUUUUUCGUUUAAGUAAAAAGAAACUCAUCGGAGAGUGACGUAAAGGAUUAAUUUCUCUAACAGAUUUUAAUCUAGAAGAGACCUGAAUCUAGGUGAACUGAUUCCUUUUUUCUUUUCCUUUCUUUUUUUUCUUUUUUAUCUUUUUCGAUCGACUACGUAAACAGAAAGGAAACUGUAAAUAUCGGGAAUCGUCCUUAACCCAGUGUAUGCCUUCGUCGAGACUGGCGAGUGUUCUUGGACGAGUAACGCGAUCAAGUUCAUCCGACCUUUAGUGCGCUGACUUUUUUCAAGUCAGUCUUCCCCGACGCGAUCGAAGAAUUGCGAUCGGGGAGGAAGAAGAAACGAGCGGGGUGUGAGG